rnacentral:rRNA from 1 species
CAAUAGCGUAUAUUAAAGUUGUUGCGGUUAAAAAGCUCGUAGUUGGAUUUCUGCCGAGGACGACCGGUCCGCCCUCUGGGUGAGUAUCUGGCUCGGCCUGGGCAUCUUCUUGGAGAACGUAGCUGCACUUGACUGUGUGGUGCGGUAUCCAGGACUUUUACUUUGAGGAAAUUAGAGUGUUUCAAGCAGGCUUACGCCUUGAAUACAUUAGCAUGGAAUAAUAAGAUAGGACCUCGGUUCUAUUUUGUUGGUUUCUAGAGCUGAGGUAAUGAUUAAUAGGGAUAGUUGGGGGCAUUCGUAUUUAACUGUCAGAGGCGAAAUUCUUGGAUUUGUUAAAGACGGACUACUGCGAAAGCAUUUGCCAAGGAUGUUUUCAUUGA